rnacentral:lncRNA from 1 species
AAAUAUAGGCAAUUUCAUUGAUAUUUAGGCAAAUUUACAUAAAUAAAAGGUAAAACUACUCCUAGUUCAUGCCGAGUAGUUUGUAGAAGACUGUGUAGUCAGCUUCAUCGCUAUCACUCGGCCGCCUGUCCUUCGUGGCGUCCUGGCUGCAGCCAUCCCCUGGAUCACUGUUACGUGCAUGUCGGGCAACGUCGGGUAGUGCGCCUCAUGCAGCAGGCGCACCUUCCACUUGUGCAGCCCAGCGGCGGCCGAAGCCGAUGGCCGCCGCUCUGU